UCCAGCCGGGGUUUCCCCGAGCCUCACCUUCUAUUCUUAAACCUGUCCUCCUCUUCCACUUACUUCCUCGCUUUCAGCCUCCCUUUGAGACUCGAGUCCUCUUCUUCGGUUCAGUCUCUCUCUCUCUCUCUUUCUUCAGUUCUCUGCCUCUCUUUCUCUCUCUUCCUUCCUCUUGUAUCUGUGUAUGUAUGCCUAUAAUUUAUGGAGGAGAGGGCAAGGAGUACUUCAGGGUUGCAAAGAAAAAACCAGAAGAGAAUUUCAUAUAAGGUUAGCCCAUUUACCCAAGAAUCCAUUAUCAUGAAUGGGUUUAAGGCUUCAAGUGUGGGGACCUUCUGCAGGAAUGGAAACUUCGUGGAUGAGAUCUUCAUGAACUUUUGGUUUCUUAUUGCAGAGAUGGACUUUUCGGUUAUAGAGAUUUGGUCAUCUUGAUUUGGUGCUAUCCUACCUGAGCUUUUUUUUUUUUUUUUUUUUUCUUUCUUUUUCUAAUGAGCCCCCUUCUUCUCCUUCCUUCUUUCUCCGUUAUCGUCUUCUUGACCUUGUAAGACCUUUUCUUGACCUUGUAAGACCCAACCUUACAUCUAUUAUCUUCGUUUCUCAUUUUGUUAAAGGCUCCUUAUUACAACCCAACUCACCUUCUCUCUUCUUGUCUAUCCCUCUUGAGCUUUUUUUUUUUUUUCCUUAAAAGAAACCAAUUUGUCUACUUGAAGUCUACUUUGCCACUACUGGAUCUUGAAGAAAGGUAAAUCCUGGAGAUUUGAACAGAGUUCUGAAUGAAAGUGGAAGGAAAAAACAGAAGGUGAUGAGACUAUAAGACUGUUCAUUGAGAGUAUUGAGGAAAAAAGCACAAUAGAGAAGAUGGCCUUGUUUUUCUCUAUCUUUCCAAAAUUUCUUACAAUUUCAGACUUUGCUUUGGUUCAUUUUUAGGGCUUUGUGUGUUCUUUGUAUUAUAUGCCCAGAAAUAUGCGUCUGCAGACAUUAGUUUUGUUUUUUUAUAUGUCUUCUGUCUGAUGAAAUAAUAGAGACAGAUAGAUAUUCUUUCAGAUGUCUGAGGAGUCCCCUCGUGACUUAUCCAAUGUACAACAAUUCCCACUGUAUUAUUGCUCGUUCUCUCUC